rnacentral:rRNA from 1 species
GAUGAACGCUGGCGGCGUGCCUAAUACAUGCAAGUCGAGCGAACGGACGAGAAGCUUGCUUCUCUGAUGUUAGCGGCGGACGGGUGAGUAACACGUGGAUAACCUACCUAUAAGACUGGUAUAACUUCGGGAAACCGGAGCUAAUACCGGAUAAUAUUUUGAACCGCAUGGUUCAAAAGUGAAAGACGGUCUUGCUGUCACUUAUAGCUGCAUCCGCGCUGCAUUAGCUAGUUGGUAAGGUAACGGCCUACCAAGGCAACGAUGCAUAGCCGACCUGAGAGGGUGAUAGGCCACACUGGAACUGAGACACGGUCCAGACUCCUACGGGAGGCAGCAGUAGGGAAUCUUCCGCAAUGGGCGAAAGCCUGACGGAGCAACGCCGCGUGAGUGAUGAAGGUCUUCGGAGCGUAAAACUCUGUUAUGAGGGAAGAACAUAUGUGUAAGUAACUGUGCACAUCUUGACGGUACCUAAUCAGAAAGCCACGGCUAACUACGUG